UCUCACGUGCAACAACAGUGCCAGCCCAGCGUUCCUAUUGGAGGGAACGCGGAACGUCGCAGGGAAUCUUUGCGCCCCUCAGCGGGAGGGCGGAAGCUCAGCCUCAAAUUCUAUGGACAACAGUUCUGUUUCACCCGAACUCCCCAGGGUUUUCAUAACUCACCAGCUGUUUGUCACAUGCAUGUGAAUAAGAUGUCCAGUAAGGAUAACGUCAUCAUACAGAUCAGAUGAUAGAGGAUGCUGUUCUAGUCAUCUUGGAUCUUCUAGGUGUUUCUAGCUAUUGGAUUCUGCUGUGUUGGUGUGAAUUUGGACAAAAUACCAGUGAUCCGAUGGGCCAAAUCUUACCCCCAUAAUUAUGCUUUUGCCGAUAAUAUUGAGGAAUGUGUUUUUACAAUCUCAAAGGUAGAGAAUAAACAGAGGACAAUAAAAGUAGUAAUGGGACCUGUCCGAAUUAUAGAAUUCAUUGCACAAAAUCAUAUGGAUAGAAUGCUUAUCACUGAUGAUGCCCAUAAAUAGGAUAUUCUAUUUGAUGAUCAAGGAGAAGGAAAUUUGAUGCACCAAAGAUCUGGUGGAAGAUCGCCACAGCCCUCAGAGUGUACAUGGAAAUCUCAGGAAGGGACAUGCACAAUACGUGGUAGAGUAGUAAGCGUUGGACUGUGGCAGUGUGCACUAAUAGAAGGAUUAAAGAUACAGUAGUUGCACUGUCAUAAACAGAGUGUUAAGGGUUAAUGUCUCUUAUACUUGUAAAGGGUUACAAGCAGAAAACUGGACACCUGACCAGAAGACCAAUCAGAAGACAAGAUACUUUUAACUUCGGGUGGAGGGAAGUUUGAGUGUGAGUUCUUUGUUCUUCUCUCAGAGGGUCUGAGAGAGACCAGACAUUACUACAGGCUCUCUAAGUCUCUUUUCAAGUAGUAAGUAAAAAACAGGCGGUUUAGGGUUUUUUUUAAAUUGUUUUACUCUAUUUGCAAUUGUGGAUCUGGCUGGUUAACUUUUAUAUGUGUAGUUGCUGGGAAUAUUUUGAUUUGUAUUGGUACUGGGGGGAAGGUCUCUUUCUGGUGUCUGUAAGCUAUAGGA